UGCGGAGGGGGCUAGCGUUAUUCGGAAUUACUGGGCGUAAAGCGCACGUAGGCGGAUUGGAUAGUUGGAGGUGAAAUCCCAGGGCUCACCCUUGGAACUGCCUUCAAAACUUCCAGUCUUGAGUUCGAGAGAGGUAAGUGGAAUUCCGAGUGUAGAGGUGAAAGUCGUAGAUAUUCGGAGGAACACCAGUGGCGAAGGCGGCUUACUGGCUCGAUACUGACGCUGAGGUGCGAAAGCGUGGGGAGCAAACAGG
rnacentral:rRNA from 1 species